UACAGGGGGUGCAAGCGUUGUUCGGAAUUACUGGGCGUAAAGCGCGGGCAGGUGGCCCUUUAAGUCCUGUGUGAAAUCCCGGAGCUCAACUCCGGAUGUGCAUAGGAUACUGGAUGGCUUGAGAUUGGGAGAGGGAUGCGGAAUUCCAGGUGUAGCGGUGAAAUGCGUAGAUAUCAAGUGGAACACCAGUGGCGAAGGCGAGUCCCUGGACAACUCCUGACACUGAGGCACGAAAGCUAGGGGAGCAAACAGG
rnacentral:rRNA from 1 species